rnacentral:rRNA from 1 species
GUGGGGAAUCUUGCGCAAUGGGCGAAAGCCUGACGCAGCCAUGCCGCGUGAAUGAUGAAGGUCUUAGGAUUGUAAAAUUCUUUCACCGGGGACGAUAAUGACGGUACCCGGAGAAGAAGCUCCGGCUAACUUCGUGCCAGCAGCCGCGGUAAUACGAAGGGGGCUAGCGUUGCACGGAAUUACUGGGCGUCAAGGGCGCGUAGGCGGACAGCUUAGUCAGAGGUAAAAGCCCAGGGCUCAACCUUGGAAUUGCCUUUGAUACUGGCUGUCUUGAGUUUGGGAGAGGUGAGUGGAACUCCGAGUGUAGAGGUGAGAUUCGUAGAUAUUCGGAAGAACACCAGUGGCGAAGGCGACUCACUGGCCCAAUACUGACGCUGAGGCGCGAAAGCGUGGGGAGCAAACAGGAUUAGAAACCCCAGUAGUCC